AUUUAACAAGAAUAUCAUAUUUUAUCACUUAAUAUUUGCCUUCCAAACAAAGCCAAUAUUUACCGUACUUGAUUCUCUUGCCAUUGAACGAGGAAAUAAACGAACAGUAUAUUAUAAUAAGAAGUAGGAAAAGAAAACGAAAAUAUUGCAAUAUUAUAUUAUUAUUGCCUAAUUACUUACUAUGAGAUUAUUACGAUUUUGAGUUCUAUACAUACAAGAGGACUUGUGCUAAUGUGUUAUCUCUUCUCUAUCCGCUUCAUAUAUUUUAUAAAUAGCCAGCAAUAUCUUAGGGAAUACAAG
rnacentral:lncRNA from 1 species